rnacentral:rRNA from 1 species
CCUACGGGUGGCAGCAGUGGGGAAUCUUGCGCAAUGGGCGAAAGCCUGACGCAGCGACGCCGCGUGAGGGAUGAAGGUCUUCGGAUCGUAAACCUCUGUCAGCAGGGAAGAACGGUCAAUGUGCUAAUCAUCAGUGAAUUGACGGUACCUGCAAAGGAAGCACCGGCUAACUCCGUGCCAGCAGCCGCGGUAAUACGGAGGGUGCGAGCGUUAAUCGGAAUUACUGGGCGUAAGGCGCACGUAGGCGGUAUGUCAAGUCAAGGGUGAAAGCCCCGCGCUCAACGUGGGAACUGCCUUUGAAACUGGGAAACUGGAGUGUAGGAGAGGAUAGUGGAAUUCCAGGUGUAGGAGUGUAAUCCGUAGAUAUCUGGAGGAACAUCAGUGGCGAAGGCGACUAUCUGGCACAUAACUGACGCUGAGGAGCGAAAGCGUGGGUAGCAAACAGGAUUAGAUACCCCAGUAGUC